rnacentral:rRNA from 1 species
UACGUAGGAUGCGAGCGUUAUCCGGAUUUAUUGGGUUUAAAGGGUGCGUAGGCGGAAUAUCAAGUCAGCGGUAAAAAUUCGGGGCUCAACCCCGUCGUGCCGUUGAAACUGGCUGGCUUGAGUUGGGGAAAGGCAGGCGGAAUGCGCGGUGUAGCGGUGAAAUGCAUAGAUAUCACGCAGAACUCCGAUUGCGAAGGCAGCUUACUAAGCCAUAACUGACACUGAAGCACGAAAGCGUGGGGAUCAAACAGG